rnacentral:rRNA from 1 species
GACGUAGGAUGCGAGCGUUAUUCGGAUUUAUUGGGCGUAAAGCGUGCGUAGGUGGUUUGUUAAGUCUGCUGUGAAAGCCCCGGGCUCAACCUGGGAAUGGCAGUGGAUACUGGCAAGCUAGAGUGCGGUAGAGGGGUGUGGAAUUCCCGGGUGUAGCGGUGAAAUGCGUAGAGAUCGGGAGGAACACCAGUGGCGAAGGCGGCACCCUGGACCAGCACUGACACUGAGGCACGAAAGCGUGGGGAGCAAACAGG